rnacentral:lncRNA from 1 species
UUAAACCAACAAUCUCCAAAAUUCAUAGGUAUGAUUUUCCCCAGAAAUUCCCCUCACUGCAAACUGCAAUAUGAUUAUUCCAAGUAUUCCACAAACUGCAAAUUAAAUCAACAAUUAUUCAAGAAUCACAAUUUUUAGUAGGAGUAUCAAAAUUCUUGUUGGAGGUAAUUUCAGAACUUCCUUUCUUCAGUCCGUUGCUGGAGGCGGUCGCCGGCGACGAGGCUGGAUAUCUUCCGGCGAGGUGGCAGAUCCGGGAGCAGCGCGAGGCAACAUCUAUUUCUAAAUCCCUAGAUCCCCGAAUCCACUCCUUCCUCUCGAAUCCACAAAUCCAAAAUAGCAAAUCCACAAAUGCACCAACUCUCCUUGAAUCCACAAACCCCAAAACAUCAAAUCCACAAAUCUACAAAUUGGUGAAGGCGGCGAAGGAAGGCAGCGGCGGAGGGAGGCAGAGGCGGGUGAAGGAAGGCGAGGUGGUGGAGGAAGGCGGCGCAGGGUGCAAGAAAUGGAGGCUGUGGAGCGGCGCUAGGUGGAGGGAGGCGGAGGCGACGAGGUGGAGGAAGGCGACACUAGGGCAGAGGAAGUGGAGGCUGUGGAGCGGAGGUGGUGGAGCGGCGCUAGGUGGAGGGAGGCGGCGCUAGGGCGGAGGAAGUGGAGGUUGUGGAGGGAGGCGGUGGAGGGUG